rnacentral:rRNA from 1 species
CGGCGUGGAUUAGGCAUGCAAGUCGAGCGGGAUCCUGAGGCCUUGAUUCUUCGGAAAAGAGGUUUCGGGUGAUAGCGGCGAACGGGUUACUAACAUAUGGGUAAUCUGCCCCUAGGUCCGGAAUAGCCACUGGAAACGGUGAUUAAUGCCGGAUGUGAUCGGCCUCCGCAUGGAGGCCUCUUUAAAGGCGGGGAAUCUUCGGAUCCUGCCGCUUAAGGAUGGGCCCAUAUCCUAUCAGCUAGUUGGUGAGGUGACGGCUCACCAAGGCUAUGACGGUUAGCUGGUCUGAGAGGAUGGUCAGCCACACUGGGACUGAGACACUGCCCAGACUCCUACGGGAGGCUGCAUUCGAGGAUCAUUCGCAAUGCGCGAAAGCGUGACGGUGCGACGCCGCGUGCAGGAUGAAGGCCUUCGGGUCGUAAACUGCUGUCAUGAGGGAGCAACGAAUCUGCCGUUAACACCGGCAGGAAGUGAUAGUACCUCAAGAGGAAGCCACGGCUAACUCUGUGCCAGCAGCCGCGGUAAUACAGAGGCGGCGAGCG